rnacentral:rRNA from 1 species
AAAUUGAAGAGUUUGAUCAUGGCUCAGAUUGAACGCUGGCGGCAGGCCUAACACAUGCAAGUCGAGCGGUAGCACAGAGAGCUUGCUCUCGGGUGACGAGCGGCGGACGGGUGAGUAAUGUCUGGGAAACUGCCUGAUGGAGGGGGAUAACUACUGGAAACGGUAGCUAAUACCGCAUAACGUCGCAAGACCAAAGUGGGGGACCUUCGGGCCUCAUGCCAUCAGAUGUGCCCAGAUGGGAUUAGCUAGUAGGUGGGGUAACGGCUCACCUAGGCGACGAUCCCUAGCUGGUCUGAGAGGAUGACCAGCCACACUGGAACUGAGACACGGUCCAGACUCCUACGGGAGGCAGCAGUGGGGAAUAUUGCACAAUGGGCGCAAGCCUGAUGCAGCCAUGCCGCGUGUGUGAAGAAGGCCUUCGGGUUGUAAAGCACUUUCAGCGGGGAGGAAGGCGAUAAGGUCAAUAACCUUGUCGAUUGACGUUACCCGCAGAAGAAGCACCGGCUAACUCCGUGCCAGCAGCCGCGGUAAUACGGAGGGUGCAAGCGUUAAUCGGAAUUACUGGGCGUAAAGCGCACGCAGGCGGUCUGUCAAGUCGGAUGUGAAAUCCCCGGGCUCAACCUGGGAACUGCAUUCGAAACUGGCAGGCUAGAGUCUUGUAGAGGGGGGUAGAAUUCCAGGUGUAGCGGUGAAAUGCGUAGAGAUCUGGAGGAAUACCGGUGGCGAAGGCGGCCCCCUGGACAAAGACUGACGCUCAGGUGCGAAAGCGUGGGGAGCAAACAGGAUUAGAUACCCUGGUAGUCCACGCCGUAAACGAUGUCGAUUUGGAGGUUGUGCCCUUGAGGCGUGGCUUCCGGAGCUAACGCGUUAAAUCGACCGCCUGGGGAGUACGGCCGCAAGGUUAAAACUCAAAUGAAUUGACGGGGGCCCGCACAAGCGGUGGAGCAUGUGGUUUAAUUCGAUGCAACGCGAAGAACCUUACCUGGUCUUGACAUCCACAGAACUUUCCCGAGAUGGAUUGGUGCCUUCGGGAACUGUGAGACAGGUGCUGCAUGGCUGUCGUCAGCUCGUGUUGUGAAAUGUUGGGUUAAGUCCCGCAACGAGCGCAACCCUUAUCCUUUGUUGCCAGCGGUUAGGCCGGGAACUCAAAGGAGACUGCCAGUGAUAAACUGGAGGAAGGUGGGGAUGACGUCAAGUCAUCAUGGCCCUUACGACCAGGGCUACACACGUGCUACAAUGGCAUAUACAAAGAGAAGCGACCUCGCGAGAGCAAGCGGACCUCAUAAAGUAUGUCGUAGUCCGGAUUGGAGUCUGCAACUCGACUCCAUGAAGUCGGAAUCGCUAGUAAUCGUAGAUCAGAAUGCUACGGUGAAUACGUUCCCGGGCCUUGUACACACCGCCCGUCACACCAUGGGAGUGGGUUGCAAAAGAAGUAGGUAGCUUAACCUUCGGGAGGGCGCUUACCACUUUGUGAUUCAUGACUGGGGUGAAGUCGUAACAAGGUAACCGUAGGGGAACCUGCGGUUGGAUCACCUCCUUACCUUAAAGAA